CACGUAGGGUGCGAGCGUUGUCCGGAAUUUAUUGGGCGUAAAGAGCUCGUAGGCGGUCUGUCGCGUCGGCUGUGAAAUCCCGAGGCUCAACCUCGGGUCUGCAGUCGAUACGGGCAAACUAGAGUAUUGCAGGGGAGACUGGAAUUCCUGGUGUAGCGGUGAAAUGCGCAGAUAUCAGGAGGACACCGGUGGCGAAGGCGGGUCUCUGGGCAAUAACUGACGCUGAGGAGCGAAAGCGUGGGGAGCGAACGGG
rnacentral:rRNA from 1 species